AAUGCAGCAGAAAACAUGGUCACUCUUAAGGUUUCAUCAUUGAGAUUACCAAGACGACAUCAGCAAGACAAGGGUCUCGCUAUGUAGUCCAGGCUGGCCAUGAAUUCACUAUGUAGCCCAGGCAGGCUCUGAAGUUACUGAGAUCCUCCUGCUUCAGCCUCCCAAGUGCUAGGACUACAGUUGUGGACCACCAUAUCUGACUGAUGUAUCAAGAAUGUCCAGGAAAUCUCAGGAGAAGCUUUAGGUACAUGGAUAUUGAGUGGAUAAAUAAACUGGAUCAUUUGAAGUUCUGAUGCCCUAACAUCAGGCAGCUAAAGUGAGAAAAAAAGCCACAUAUGUGAAAAUCACAAGGCCAACUCCCAUUCCCAAGAAGGGACUGAGGCGUGCUUUAAAAUACCAGAGACUUUUGCUCUUAAAGCUAGCCAAACCAACUAGAGCUACUGUACUAUAUUCAUUUAGAUUCUUUAGUGGGCAGCUGAUUCCCCAUGGCUAAUACUGUCCACAGCCAUGGAAGGAAACAAGUCAAAGAAAUGGAACUGCAAAUACACACGUAUACCUUGGCUACAGAUUUCUUAGCUUCUUAAAUCUGAAAUUGUCCUCAUGUCUGCCUCAUGACGAUUGCUCUUUAGACCAAACAUCCAUGACCGAUUCAAAGCAGUUGUCUGGGGUUUGGCUACUGCUUAGCAGGUACUUAUAAAGCAUUCUGUGACAUUAAUCAAGAUUCCAGCUAAAGAAGAUGCCACCAAGCUAAUUAAAGCCAUCUAGAAGACUGCGUAAAUAAGGAGGAAAAUGUA